rnacentral:rRNA from 1 species
AGGGCACCACCAGGAGUGGAGCCUGCGGCUUAAUUUGACUCAACACGGGAAAACUCACCCGGCCCGGGCACUGGGAGGAUUGACAGAUUGAGAGCUCUUUCUUGAUUCAGUGGGUGGUGGUGCAUGGCCGUUCUUAGUUGGUGGAGUGAUUUGUCUGGUUAAUUCCGAUAACGAACGAGACUCUGGCCUACUAAAUAGAUCGUCGGCUUACAAACGCCGGCGAGACUUCUUAGAGGGACAGGCGGUGAUUCAACCGCACGAAACAGAGCAAUAACAGGUCUGUGAUGCCCUUAGAUGUCCGGGGCCGCACGCGCGCUACACUGAAGUGAUCAGCGUGCUUUUUCAACCUACUCUGUCAAGAGUGGGGAACCCAAUGAACCUUCUCCGUGAUUGGGAUAGGGGAUUGUAAUUAUUCCCCUUGAACGAGGAAUUCCCAGUAAGCGCGAGUCAUAAGCUCGCGUUGAUUACGUCCCUGCCCUUUGUACACACCGCCCGUCGCUACUACCGAUUGAAUGUUUU